UAAGAAAUAGAUCAAACGCUUUCAAACUAUGAAUGAAGAAAAGGGGAAUGUACGUGGGUACAAUUAUUUGUCAAGAUUGCAAUGAAACCAUUGAUCAAUUUGAAAAUGAAAAAGUGACAACGCUAUAUGGAACGUGUGGUCACUGUCAUUGCUGUGAUGAAGCCUCUGAAUGAAUAAAUAAAAAAGCAUGCAGCUCCAUUUGGGGCUGCAUGUUUCUUU
rnacentral:sRNA from 1 species